AUCUUCAAAAGUGGUGAGUGCAUGAAGUGCUGAUUAAUGCAGACGAUGUAGAACAGCGUGAGUACCACGAAAUUUACAAGACUCCACAGGGAAAUGUGAUACCGUUGUGUUUUGGACUCAAAGCUGUGCAGCUGAAAUCCGUGAUUUACAAGAACGUUGGAGAUUGGUUGACUAAAUUAUACUAGAGUUUGGCAAUUCUCUAAAUGUGAUAUUGAUGAAUUUGGUAAACUCGUGCAUUAAUGAUACGAGUCAAUUGUGAUGCUAAUCUGUGCAGACACCGGAAAAUGUAUGCAACAACAAAUCGAAAUUCGAUCCGUGUUGCAAUCUUGUCUCCAUGAAUCCUGGAAUAUAUGAAGAACACAAUAAAAUAUAUUCACUGAAGUUGGCAAUUUAAUAUUUUUUGGUGCAGGAGAAAUUACAAUCAACAUUUUCCGGAAACUUGGCGGACUUCCAAGCACAUAAGGGAACUUUCUGCAACAAAUUAUGUUACUUACUACUAAGUAGCCAAUUGGGAAAAUAUAUUUUUCUAAAAAAUACUGAUCGCAUAUAUUAAGAACCUGCCGCCAAACUGAUUGGAACAUGUUCGUAAAAAUUCAAAGUCUCCAACUCCGACUCUUCCAAUCUAAGUCGUACCUCUACAAUCACCGUCGAAGUCAACGAGUCUCCAACUCCGAAUAUAUUUGCAGCCUUAACAGUCGUAGCUCUUCUAAAAAAGUGGCAUUUACAUAUUUGCCAUUCAAAGUGUAACAUUUCACAAGUUGGCAGACAGAACGGUGCUACAAAAACGCUUCUUCAAUCUAAGUCGUAUCACUGUCGAAGUCAACGAGUUUGAUAAAUAUUUAUUUUUUUUUUUACUUAAUAUGCACGUUGCCUAUGGUCACAAUCACGUUUUAAGGCAAUACUAAGGGGUUCAUUACAAAUAUAUGUACAUAUAUGUUAUUAAGUGCGCUGCUCAUUAUACUCAUAUGUAAAUAAUACUAUAUUAUUUUACUAAAUUAUGUUUGCCCCGUCUCAACAAGUAGCGUUACAAGUACUUUUUUGAGCAUACACUACAGUUGGGGGCCAAAGUCCACAUUGGAUUUAAAAAAAAAUAAAUAAAAAUAAAACUUGA